CAGUCGCCGCGGUAAUACGAAGGGGGCUAGCGUUGUUCGGAAUCACUGGGCGUAAAGCGCACGUAGGCGGACGCUUAAGUCAGGGGUGAAAUCCCGAGGCUCAACCUCGGAACUGCCUUUGAUACUGGGUGUCUUGAGUCCGGGAGAGGUGAGUGGAACUGCGAGUGUAGAGGUGAAAUUCGUAGAUAUUCGCAAGAACACCAGUGGCGAAGGCGGCUCACUGGCCCGGAACUGACGCUGAGGUGCGAAAGCGUGGGGAGCAAACAGGAUUAGAUACCCGCGUAGUCCCUGUCUCUUAUAC
rnacentral:rRNA from 1 species